rnacentral:rRNA from 1 species
CAGUCGCCGCGGUAAUACAGAGGGUGCAAGCGUUAAUCGGAUUUACUGGGCGUAAAGCGUGCGUAGGUGGCUGUUUAAGUCGGAUGUGAAAGCCCUGGGCUUAACCUGGGAACUGCAUUCGAUACUGGAUAGCUAGAGAUCGGUAGAGGGCAGCGGAAUUCCGGGUGUAGCGGUGAAAUGCGUAGAUAUCCGGAGGAACACCGAUGGCGAAGGCAACUGCCUGGGCCUGAUCUGACACUGAGGCACGAAAGCGUGGGUAGCAAACAGGAUUAGAUACCCCAGUAGUCCCUGUCUCUUAUAC